rnacentral:ncRNA from 1 species
CAGAGUAGGUGCAAAGCGUUGCAGCGGCCGGGGUCCCGGCCUAUGCUGAAGUGCCGCGGGAUGGGAUGUUGUCCGCGGACGAAGCGGCGUGAGCCGCGCGGUUUUGCCCCGCAUCCGCUGC